GCAGAGCACUCCUACGGGAGGCAGCAGUGGGGAAUAUUGGACAAUGGGCGCAAGCCUGAUCCAGCCAUGCCGCGUGAGUGAUGAAGGCCUUAGGGUUGUAAAGCUCUUUUGUCCGGGAAGAUAAUGACUGUACCGGAAGAAUAAGCCCCGGCUAACUUCGUGCCAGCAGCCGCGGUAAUACGAAGGGGGCUAGCGUUGCUCGGAAUCACUGGGCGUAAAGGGCGCGUAGGCGGACUUUUAAGUCGGGGGUGAAAGCCCAGGGCUCAACCCUGGAAUUGCCUUCGAUACUGGGAGUCUUGAGUUCGGAAGAGGUUGGUGGAACUGCGAGUGUAGAGGUGAAAUUCGUAGAUAUUCGCAAGAACACCGGUGGCGAAGGCGGCCAACUGGUCCGAUACUGACGCUGAGGCGCGAAAGCGUGGGGAGCAAACAGGAUUAGAUCCCCUGGUAG
rnacentral:rRNA from 1 species